AUUGAACGCUGGCGGCAUGCCUUACACAUGCGAGUCGAACGGCAGCACGGGUGCUUGCACCUCGUGGCGAGUGGCGCACGGGUGAGUAAUAUAUCGGAACGCGUACUGUUGUGGGGGAUAGCCCGGCGAAAGCCGGAUUUAUCCCGCAUACGAUCUACGGAUGAGAGCGGGGGACCUUGGCGUCUCGCGCUAUGGGGUUGGGAGAUGGCGGAUUAGCUAGUUGGUGGGGUAAAGGCCUACCAAGGCGACGAUCAGUAGCUGGUCUGAGAGGACGACCAGCCACACUGGGACUGAGACACGGCCCAGACUCCUACGGGAGGCAGCAGUGGGGAAUUUUGGACAAUGGGGGAAAGCCUGAUCCAGCAAUGCCGCGUGUGGGAAGAAGGCCUUCGGGUUGUAAAGCACUUUUGUCCGGAAAGAAAUCCUUGGCCCUAAUACGGUCGGGGGAUGACGGUACCGGAAGAAUAAGCACCGGCUAACUACGUG
rnacentral:rRNA from 1 species